CUCCAGAACACUUAUUUUCAUCUCCUUAUAAAAUCUCCCGGUUUCGAGCUUCUCAGGCUACCAGAAAUCUCAUGAACGGAACCGAUUCCUUCGGUGGUGCCCAUUAAAGGCGUGGAGACGAGUCAACAGCUCCAGUCCCCUCUAAGUCCCCUGAUACGGCCUGCCAACCACUCCGACUCAGCAAUCGAAUUCUGCCUAUGUAGCUACCCUCGUGGUACGACUAUACCCAACCAGAUCCCGACUAAUCGAAAGAUCGCAAUCCGCCGGAAUCCAACCCCGUAAAAUGAACAAAAUUGUCAAGCCGCCUCUGGUCCAAUUCAACCUAAAGUAGAUAGCUUUUUGCGGUGGAGUUUUGUCCACAAAUGCAGGCCACGCGAUUUGUACUUCGUCCUUCGAUUUAAACCGGAAACGUUAACCGGGUGUGAUUGCAAGCAGAUCUUUCCCCUUCACAAAUUAACAUGAACGAGCAGAAGCCCGCGGCAACGACCUGGGUGGUGGCCACGGCUUCCCUCCAGCAAAGCCUUACCAUGGCCUGGUCCCUCACGAAUCUAAUUAACACAAACUGAUACAAGGACCAGCUGAAAAAGAAAAAGCUGGGUAACGGGAUCGUUGGCAAGAGGAAAAU